rnacentral:rRNA from 1 species
AGAGUUUGAUCAUGGCUCAGAUUGAACGCUGGCGGUAUGCCUAACACAUGCAAGUCGAACGAGGUAGCAAUACCUAGUGGCGGACGGGUGAGGAAUACGUAGGGAUCUGCCCUUAAGUGGGGGAUAACCCGGGGAAACCCGGAUUAAUACCGCAUGAUCUCGCAAGAGCAAAGAGGGGGACCGCAAGGCCUCUCGCUUUUGGAGGAACCUACGUCGGAUUAGCUAGUUGGUGAGGUAAUGGCUCACCAAGGCGACGAUCCGUAACUGGUCUGAGAGGAUGAUCAGUCACACCGGAACUGAGACACGGUCCGGACUCCUACGGGAGGCAGCAGUGGGGAAUAUUGGACAAUGGGCGAAAGCCUGAUCCAGCAAUACCGCGUGUGUGAAGAAGGCCUUCGGGUUGUAAAGCACUUUAAGUUGGGAAGAAAAAGCUUCACCUAAUACGUGAAGCCUUGACGGUACCGACAGAAUAAGCACCGGCUAACUCUGUGCCAGCAGCCGCGGUAAUACAGAGGGUGCUAGCGUUAAUCGGAUUUACUGGGCGUAAAGCGUGCGUAGGUGGUUUGAUAAGUCGAUUGUGAAAGCCCCGGGCUUAACCUGGGAAUUGCGGUCGAUACUGUCAGACUCGAAAACGGUAGAGGGAGGUGGAACUCCAGGUGUAGCGGUGAAAUGCGUAGAUAUCUGGAAGAACACCGAUGGCGAAGGCAGCCUCCUGGGCCUGUUUUGACACUGAGGCACGAAAGCGUGGGUAGCAAACAGGAUUAGAUACCCCGGUAGUCC